rnacentral:misc_RNA from 1 species
UUUCCGUAGGUGAACCUGCGGAAGGAUCAUUAAUGAGUUGUCAUGGGGUUCGAUGCUGGCAGCCAAUUUUUGGAUGCAUGUGCUUGCCCUAACAAUCAUCUUCCAAACACCUGUGCACAUUUUUGAGGGAGUCUUGAGUUGGUUGCCGCUCUUGGGUGAUUUCUCACAUUCCCUUAAAUCAUUAUACGCUAUUAACAAUGUUGAACGUGCUCUGUGCCGCAAGGCUAUUAAUAUAAUACAACUUUUAACAACGGAUCUCUUGGCUCUC